UAUACAUCCGAUUCUGUAAGUUUGCCCAUUAUUGCAUGGUCAGGAUGAGUAACUCAAUGUAGGUCCACCCAGUCCAUCAAAGACACAACAGUUGCUUACUGACAGAAGCUUCCAGUAGAAGAUCAGGGGAGAAAAGUCCUCAGGGAAAAUAAGUUCUUACAGUUCUGUGGUUAAUUGGAUACCGGAAAUAGAUAUUAGACCAUAUUGUCAGUGUUGUAUGGACUUGAUAGGAUAAGGACUCAUCUGUCAUCAAAAUUAAAGGUAUUACGGAACUUUCUGCACCCUUAAUUCUGUUGUUCAAGGGAUUCCAGCUUUCCACUGACCCCUUAGCAAUAGCAACC
rnacentral:lncRNA from 1 species